rnacentral:rRNA from 1 species
UACGUAGGGACCGAGCGUUGUCCGGAAUCAUUGGGCGUAAAGAGCGUGUAGGCGGCCACUUAAGUCCUGCGUGAAAUCUUGCGGCUCAACCGCAAGCGGUCGUGGGAAACUGGGUGGCUAGAGUGCGGGAGAGGAGAGUGGAAUUCCUGGUGUAGCGGUGGAAUGCGCAGAUAUCAGGAGGAACACCGGUGGCGAAGGCGGUUCUCUGGGCAUUACCUGACGCUGAGGAGCGAAAGUGUGGGGAGCGAACAGG